UUACAAUUCUCAACCGCUAGAUGGCAACUGUGGCUCUACUGAGACAUGACCACUGGCAACGCGAGACUUGAACGUUAGCUCUCGAUCACUGUUGCCAGAUCUCGCGAUAAACAUUUCCGCAUUUUACAACUGUUGGAGACGGAGAGCAAGCAACAGCAAAUGUUAAAGCAAAUUCUUUCCUGCUUUUGGUCUUGUGGGCCUGUUAGGGGCGGAUGACGUCGAUGUUUGGAGGUGUGUUGGGGCGGAGACUCGGGAUCGUUUUCACUCACCGUUCUGACUUCAUUCUGUAUCUGACGACGCAGAGAAAGGAUGUGUUUCACAGAGCAGUGGGCCCUGUUAGGGGCGGAUGACGUCGAUGUUUGGAGGCGUGUUAGGGGCGGAGACUCGGGAGCGUUUUCACAGGCCGUUCUGAUUUCAUUCUGAAUUUGACAGGGAUGAGAAAGGACGUGUUUCACAGAGCAGUGGAGAGGUAUUUCUGAUGCUGACCCAGAGGAUGGAGUGGUAGUACCAGAGUUUCACUGUCCCCAUCAGACAAGAAUCUUAUUUUGUACAUACCAACAGCAUAUGAAUGUUAAGGGGAUAGUUCACCCAAAAAUAAACAUUCUCACAUAUUUUAUUCACCCUCAUGCCGCCCCAGAUGCAUAUUCAUUUCUUUAUACAGAUCUAAACACAUAUUAAGUCCUAAACAGUGAAAAACCACACAGCGACUGUGACGGUAAUCCAUGCGACCCCAGUGAAUGAAUCAAUGUCUUCUAAAGUGAAACAGUACAUAAGAAAAAUACUAAUAAUUUAAAUUCAUUUAACUGUUAACAAUCGAAGACCAACUGUCAUACAUGCAUGGGUUACAAUCCACUUAUUAUAUGGACUCACUGGAUUAUUUUCUUAAAAACCUUUGUCUUUAUGUGAAGAAAGAAAGUCAUUGAUGGUAAAGGUGAUUAAAUGGUGAGAGAAUUUAAAUGAUUUUGGGUGGACUAUCCCUGUAAAUUCUAAUAUUGCACUCCAUUACCACAUAAUGUACCCACACAGUCACUGUUUUGCCACUUUGUAUUGCAACAGGAACUGUUCAAAUGAUCAUUUUUUUCAUUUAAAAUAUAUAUGAAUUUUACACGUGUAUUCUGUAUAUGUACUUGGGCAUUUUUAUAGUAAUGUAUAUCUGAGAAUAUUGUGCAUUACAUGAAUACUAUGCAGAUAGUGUUUUGUGGGUUCUGGUCUUUCCUGUCGCAACAUAAUUGCAUCCAAGACUUUCACUUUGAUACUUGUGUAUAUGCUGUAGUGACAAUAAUGAAUGUAAAUGUAUUUGAAUUUAUUCAUAUUUUCACUUAUUCAACUGAUUUUUAUAAAAGUCACAACUGAAACUGUUGAUGAUUGUUAAAAAAGUAUUUCCAAUUCUAAAUGUUAGUUGAUAAUGUUAACUAAA